rnacentral:siRNA from 1 species
UGACAACGGCUUCGUUAGAGUGUC